rnacentral:tRNA from 1 species
GGGCGAAUGGUUUAGUGGUAUAAUACUCCCUUAGCAUGCGCCUUCCUAGUGAUUGCCCAGAUUUGGGAGUGGUCCAGGGUUCGAUUCCCUGUUCGUCCA